UACGGGAAGGGUUGGUAAAGGGACUGGUGGAUAGGGGAAGGGUUGGUAAUGGGACUGGUGGAUAGGGGAAGGGUUGGUAAUGGGACUGGUGGAUAGGGGAAGGGUUGGUAAUGGGACUGGUGGAUAGGGGAAGGAUUGGUAAUGGGACUGGUGGAUAGGGGAAGGAUUGGUAAUGGGACUGGUGGAUAGGGGAAGGGUUGGUAAUGGGACUGGUGGAUAGGGGAAGGGUUGGUAAUGGGACUGGUGGAUAGGGGAAGGAUUGGUAAUGGGACUGGUGGAUAGGGGAAGGGUUGGUAAUGGGACUGGUGGAUAGGGGAAGGGUUGGUAAUGGGACUGGUGGAUAGGGGAAGGAUUGGUAAUGGGACUGGUGGAUAGGGGAAGGGUUGGUAAUGGGACAGGUGGAUAGGGGAAGGAUUGGUAAUGGGACAGGUGGAUAGGGGAAGGGUUGGUAAUGGGACAGGUGGAUAGGGGAAGGAUUGGUAAUGGGACUGGUGGAUAGGGGAAGGAUUGGUAAUGGGACUGGUUGAUAGGGGAAGGGUUGGUAAUGGGACUAGUGGAUAGGGGAAGGGUUGGUAAUGGGACUGGUGGAUAGGGGAAGGAUUGGUAAUGGGACUGGUGGAUAGGGGAAGGGUUGGUAAUGGGACUGGUGGAUAGGGGAAGGAUUGGUAAUGGGACUGGUGGAUAGGGGAAGGGUUGGUAAUGGGACAGGUGGAUAGGGGAAGGAUUGGUAAUGGGACUGGUGGAUAGGGGAAGGAUUGGUAAUGGGACUGGUGGAUAGGGGAAGGAUUGGUAAUGGGACAGGUGGAUAGGGGAAGGAUUGGUAAUGGGACUGGUGGAUAAGGGAAGGGUUGGUAAUGGGACAGGUGGAUAGGGGAAGGAUUGGUAAUGGGACUGGUGGGUAGGGGAAGGGUUGGUAAUGGGACUGGUUGAUAGCGGAAGGAUUGGUAAUGGGACUGGUGGAUAGGGGAAGGAUUGGUAAUGGGACUGGUGGAUAGGGGAAGGGUUGGUAAUGGGACUGGUGGAUAGGGGAAGGAUUGGUAAUGGGACUGGUGGAUAGGGGU